AGAUUGAACGCUGGCGGCAUGCCUUACACAUGCAAGUCGAACGGUAGAGUAGCAAUACUUGAGAGUGGCGAACGGGUGAGUAAUAUAUCGGAACGUGCCCAGUCGUGGGGGAUAACGUAGAGAAAUUUACGCUAAUACCGCAUACGAUCUAAGGAUGAAAGCGGGGGACUCGCAAGAGCCUCGCGCGAUUGGAGCGGCUGAUAUCAGAUUAGGUUGUUGGUGAGGUAAAAGCCCACCAAGCCGACGAUCUGUAGCUGGUUUGAGAGAACGACCAGCCACACUGGGACUGAGACACGGCCCAGACUCCUACGGGAGGCAGCAGUGGGAAUUUUGGACAAUGGGCGAAAGCCUGAUCCAGCAAUGCCGCGUGCGAGGAAGAAGGCCUUGGUGUAAGCGUACGUUUGGUUAGGGAAGAAAGUCCGUAGGG
rnacentral:rRNA from 1 species